rnacentral:lncRNA from 1 species
AUAAUUAACUCAGCAAUUACUUAGUAAAGUUAAGACAGUUGUAAACAUUUUAAUUGAACACAUUAUUUGUUAGUUUGCCUGGCGCGCAUGUGAAAUGACUGAUAUUGGUAGUGCACUCUUCGUGUGAUUCUUGGCAGUUUCAGAACUACAAAGAUCUUCCCCUAAAUCAUGUGAGUUAUGAUUGUUGAUCUACUUGGUCUUGUAUAUAGAAU